GCUUACCGGCAGCUGUUCUCCCCAUCUGUGUGCAGUGACGUCUCGGCCCGUCGAAGACCCAGGCGGGCAAAGGAGUGGUACAAGCCAGGUUUGGGCACCACAGGAUAAGAUGACCUGCAGGUCUGGCCUCGGAUUUCUGCAGAGGUGUGUUGGAAAGGCAUCAUCGAGGAGGCCGGCAGACUAUAAACGUCUCACCUGGAAGCGAUGGAAGUCCUGUGGCUUGAAGUCGUUGGGGGAGCAGCCGCACCAGUCCACGAUGUGCUUGUACUGGCACUUGCAGCCCAGCUUGCGAUUCCAGUUGGUGAUGCGCAGGUUGUUGUCCACCAUGGUGUCGCAGUGGGGGCUGUUCUCCAGGACCGUGUGGAAGAAGGACUGCAGGGAAGAGGAGCCCAGUCUGAGACCUCUCCCAGCCUCCCACAAGUGAACUGGCAUGGGCAAUGGCGAACGCUUGCUCUGAGUUCACAUGGGAGCUGCUUGUUUAAAAGAAUGUGGCACCUCACCAGGAAGCUGGGCAGCUUCCUGGACAGCUUGCAGCACCAUGAAUCCAAUUAAACCUCUUUUCUUUAAAAAUUA